rnacentral:SRP_RNA from 2 species
GGAGGUUGGCGGUGGACGAGCCACUCGCCAACCGGGUCAGGUCCGGAAGGAAGCAGCCCUAACGAGACCGGUUUGGGUCAUUGUUCCAGCCUCCCAC